rnacentral:rRNA from 1 species
CCCAGUUCGGACUGUGGUCUGCAACCCGACCACACGAAGCUGGAAUCGCUAGUAAUCGCGGAUCAGAAUGCCGCGGUGAAUACGUUCCCGGGUCUUGUACACACCGCCCGUCACACCAUGGGAGUCAGCAACGCCCGAAGUCAGUGACCCAACCUUUAAGGAGGGAGCUGCCGAAGGCGGGGCAGGUGACUGGGGUGAAGUCGUAACAAGGUACC